UCCAUGCUGCGACAAGGACAGGGAAUGGUC
rnacentral:piRNA from 1 species